CCUACGGGAGGCAGCAGUAGGGAAUCUUCCACAAUGGGCGAAAGCCUGAUGGAGCAACGCCGCGUGGGUGAAGAAGGUUUUCGGCUCGUAAAACCCUGUUGGUAGAGAAGAAAGUGCGUGGUAGUAACUGUUCACGUUUCGACGGUAUCUAACCAGAAAGCCACGGCUAACUACGUGCCAGCAGCCGCGGUAGUACGUAGGGUGCAAGCGUUAUCCGGAUUUAUUGGGUUUAAAGGGAACGUA
rnacentral:rRNA from 1 species